UCUAUCUAUCUAUCUAUCUAUCUAUCUAUCUAUCUAUCUAUCUAUCUAUCUAUCUAUCUAUCUAUCUAUCUAUCUAUCUAUCUAUCUAUCUAUCUAUCUAUCUAUCUAUCUAUCUAUCUAUCUAUCUAUCUAUCUAUCUAUCUAUCUAUCUGUUAGUUUGUUUUGUUUUAAAGGAAAAAUAUUAUGUCCCACGUCGUAGUUUCUUUGUCUCAAAGUUUCUGUUUUAAACUUGACAGUAGUUUUAUAAAGUCAUUAUGUCGCAAACCCAUUGUACUUUAUAGAAACAAAAUGUGCCACCAAGAGCACAUCAACGAACCAGGAUCCGCCAUGUAUUGCCCAGGAGAUUAGACCGCAUCAAGCUCAGCCAGGAACACUAACUAAUAUAAAAAAAACAAAAUGUGCCACCAAGAGCACAUCAACGAACCAGGAUCCGCCAUGUAUUGCCCAGGAGAUUAGACCGCAUCAAUCUCAGCCAGGAACACUAACUAAUAUAAAAAAAACAAAAUGUGCCACCAAGAGCACAUCAACGAACCAGGAUCCGCCAUGUAUUGCCCAGGAGAUUAGACCGCAUCA